rnacentral:lncRNA from 1 species
CCCUUGUGGGGGGGCCCCUCCACUACCCAACCUACCGCCCUUUCCUCCCCCCUCCCCACCCCCUGGCUGUGACUGCUGUAAGGUGGGGUUAUAGAGAGAGGCUGGGUGAUUCUUACCCGGGUUGUAAAGCUGGACUAUGUUAUAACGCACAAAGUAAGCUGGCCCCAGGGGGAGCCAGAGGGUGAGGGGUACCCUUAUCUUCCUUUUUCCUUCCUCUUUCUGCCCGAGCUUGUGCUGCAGUUGAACCUCUUCCUGUGGGUGGCAGUAGGGUAGAGGGUGUGUGAGGCCUCAGACCCCUCUCUGGUAGGGAGCCGAGGGGAUGAGAUGAAGCUUCUAUGCAGUUCUCUCCUGGGGCUGUGGGCAAAGGGCAUUUUGUAAUUAAUAUUCUCAAGAAUCAGAUAAUCUGGACUGUAGAGAUGGGCUGGAUGGUGGCACAUGGGCAGGCCUGCUGGAGGGGUAGAGCGGUUGCUGUUGUGAUUUUAGGUUUUUGUUUUGUUUUAAACUUGGGGGAUUGUGGAUUGAUGGGGGUAGGGAGAUUUUUUUCUUUUUUUUUUUUCUGGCUUUUUUUUUUUUUUUUUUUAAGCUGCUUCCUCAACUGUUUCAAGCUGCAAAUGUUUAUGAGAAUAACAACUCCCUACACACUCCCACAGAAACCAUUGUAAUUAGAUCAGACAGUGGGAAAACUGGGCUUGCUGUCCCCAAAGCCACAGAGCUGAAAGGUCUAGGCAUUAGUUGGGGGGUUGGGGGGGGAGAUUGUCUCCUGUGAGUGGGGCUCUGGCUGGGGCUUGGGCCCUAGAACUGGGAACGGAGAAGGGGCAGACUUUGUAAGCAUAUGCUAGGUAUCCGAUAGUCCUGUAGAAUUUAGUGAAGAAACCUUAUACAGCUUUUAAUUUUUAUAUAAACUAUAACUCAGACCCACGCUACAAGGUUGGAAUUUUGGUUGUUGUUGGUUUUUUUUUUUUUUUAAGUACCCCGCCUGUAUAAUUGCAUCAGAAUCCCACCCCCAACCCCGCCCCCUGUUUGUAUUUUGGGUUGGUUUACACUUGCACAUACUCAAUUUUCAGUUUCUCCCUUUUACCUUCUACCCUCACCUCCAGGACCCUCCCCCUUCUUAAAAAAAUAAAUCGCUGACAAGUGUGAAUCCCGUGAAGAACUUUAUUUUGUGUUGUGUGUAUCCUGUACAGCAAGGUUGGUCCUUCGUAACAACGGAUGAAAUGGUUCCCUUUUUUAAAGCGCUCUCUCUUCCUCCACCCCCAGCGCCCCUGUCCUUGGCAUGUUUUGUAUCAGCGAUCAUUCUGAACUGUACAUAAUUUAUGUUGCGAGAGGCAAAGGGCAAGUUUUGGAUUUUGCUUCUUCAAAGUUUGUUUUUAAACGAUAAAUAAAAAAAGAACAUUUUAAAUACAAAA